rnacentral:pre_miRNA from 1 species
AUAUAGGGUCUGAUUCAAAGUCCAGUGAAGUCAAUGGGAUCCUUUCCAUUGACUUCACUUGGCUUUGGAUCAAGCCAAUAAU